GCCGAAGUGGUGGAAUUUGGUAGACACGCCAUCUUGAGGGGGUGGUGGGGUAACUCCCGUGCGGGUUCGAAUCCCGCCUUCGGCACCA
rnacentral:tRNA from 1 species